AGUGAACGCUGGCGGUAGGCCUAACACAUGCAAGUCGAACGGCAGCACAGUAAGAGCUUGCUCUUACGGGUGGCGAGUGGCGGACGGGUGAGGAAUACAUCGGAAUCUACUUUUUCGUGGGGGAUAACGUAGGGAAACUUACGCUAAUACCGCAUACGACCUACGGGUGAAAGCAGGGGAUCUUCGGACCUUGCACGAUUGAAUGAGCCGAUGUCGGAUUAGCUAGUUGGCGGGGUAAAGGCCCACCAAGGCGACGAUCCGUAGCUGGUCUGAGAGGAUGAUCAGCCACACUGGAACUGAGACAUGGUCCAGACUCCUACGGGAGGCAGCAGUGGGGAAUAUUGGACAAUGGGCGCAAGCCUGAUCCAGCCAUACCGCGUGGGUGAAGAAGGCCUUCGGGUUGUAAAGCCCUUUUGUUGGGAAAGAAAAGCAGCAGGUUAAUACCCCGCUGUUCUGACGGUACCCAAAGAAUAAGCACCGGCUAACUUCGUG
rnacentral:rRNA from 1 species